rnacentral:rRNA from 1 species
UGGGUGGUAAAUUCCAUCUAAGGCUAAAUAUAGGCGAGAGACCGAUAGCGAACAAGUACCGUGAGGGAAAGAUGAAAAGAACUUUGAAAAGAGAGUUAAACAGUACGUGAAAUUGUUGAUAGGGAAACGAUUGAAGUCAGUCAUGCCGGUGAAAAAUCAGCUCACAGGCUACUGUGGGUGCACUUUUUCGCAAGGCAGGUUAACAUCGGUUUUUGUUGCGUUAUAAUGAUUGUAGGAAGGUGGCUUCUUCGGGAGUGUUAUAGCCUACUUUAGAUGACGCGACGAGGACUGAGGAUUGCAGCGAAUGCCUUUGGCUACGGAACUCUUCUCUGUCGAUCUUCAAUUGAUCGUCAGCUUGCUGACGAGCGGUUGAUAGGUUUACAAUAGGAAGGAAUCCGAUAAACUCGCUAAGGAUGUUGACGUAAUGGCUUUAAACGACCCGUCUUGAAACACGGACCAAGGAGUCUAACAUACGUGCGAGUGUUUGGGUGACAAACCCAUUCGCGUAAUGAAAGUGAACGUAGGUGGGAGCCUUUUGGUGCACCAUCAACC